UGGCGUAAUGGUUAAGAGUUUGGCUGCUAACCAAAAGGGUCGGUGGUUCAAAUCCACC
rnacentral:tRNA from 1 species